rnacentral:misc_RNA from 1 species
CAUACCACUCAAGCUCUUCUGCUUGGUCAUGGAAGAAGAGUAUGCUUGCAUCCUCUCUUCUGAAAUCGAAUGGCGGACCGCCUCAUGUGCCUCGCGUAGUAAGUUCAUCUUUUCGCUGGGAGCAUGAGACAGUCUCGCCAUCAACCCCCAUACUUCUAA